AAAUGUCAGUGCAUUGAGAGACGAACAAAAGAAAAUUUUGCGAAGGAGCGAAUUGCAGCUGAGUGGAGAAAAAAAAAGAAUUAUUGCUUGUAUCGUUCCGCAAAAGUGGUGACGAAAAUCGAAUUUUUGGUGUCAAAUUGGUUCCCACUGUUACCUGGCUGAGUUGAGAGGUGAUAAAAAUCUGUAUCUGUACCAGUGGUGAAGGUCACGACGACGGCUAUUUCUUGCAAGAUGUGCGGUGGAUUCAGCUGCUCUAAAAAUGCCUUGAUUGCAUUGAACAUCCUCUAUGUGAUGGUCGGCUUUCUGCUGAUCGGGGUCGGUGUUUACGGGCGAGCCUCAUCGAUCGUCACCAAUCUGCCCAUCAUCGGCGGGAUUUUGGCCUGCGGUGUCAUUUUGAUACUGAUCUCGGUUCUCGGUCUGAUCGGGGCUGCGAAACAUCAUCAGGUUAUGCUGUUCUUUUACAUGAUAAUUCUGUUCAUGCUGUUCCUGAUCCAGUUUUCGAUUGCCUGUUCGUGUUUGGCGGUAAACCAGGAACAACAACGUCAGUUCGCCGAGCAGGGAUGGUCUCUGGCACCGGUGGACAUUAAACAGCAGGUUCAGGAAGAGUUCCUCUGUUGUGGUUUCAAUGCGACCACCACCGAUGAUCAUCCGUCUUGUGCGGCGGUCAAUGCAAAAUGUUGUCCGGAAGGAGCUCCCGAAGGUUGCCAGUGUAGUCCCUGCAUGCCAAAACUGGAGAGUACCAUCGAUUAUGCGUUCCAUUUGUCCGGUGGAAUUGGGUUGUUCUUCAGUUUUACGGAGUUUAUCGGUGUUUGGUUGACCGUGCGCUAUCGCAAUCAGAAAGACCCCCGGGGCAACCCGAGUGCUUUCCUCUAAGAUUGGGAGGACCCCGUAACUGAUCUUUAAGCGAUGAAAUUCGUUGUUUCGUUGGCUUCCGGUUUAGUUUUCUAGCAUUUGAUGGAUUUGAAAAAAAAAAAAGUUAGCACAACGAGCGAUGGAGCGAGUUUAAUGAUUAUUGCCGUUUUUCUCACACGCCGCUACCGCAAUCAGCAAGAUCCUGAUCACCUACCGGCAAGAGCAAUUUUCCCCCAAAGUAACUAUGUGUACUGAGGACAGGAAAACACAGAACAGUGUUCAGGGAGAGUCAGACUGAGGUAUGCUGCGGGCUACGGGUCAUCGUAACGGACAGGGUUAGUUAGUCUUUAUCUGGUUUUCUUAGUCUCCGUCUGAAAAAUUAGAAUAUUGACUUUCUGCAAUGACCAAAACCCGAAAAAAAAACGAGAACAAGGAUAAUACUCAUUUUGUCGCUCUUUAGUAUAAUUGAUUAAUUGAAUCGACAGAACAAUGGUUGUGCUAAUUAUUCUAAAUCCACUGUUUACAUUAGCUUUAUUUUUGUAUUUUCGAUUUUGUAGUAGAAUCUAAGAUGCUAUUUUUUUUACAUCGGUGUUACUUUCGGGAGUAAGAAUCAGGAAUUAUUUUAAGUAAUAUUCAAACGUUUGUUCUAAAAAGGAUUACUUUUCCUAGAAAAAAUGUGAUACCAAUAAUUUCUCGAGUGUGCAACCAAAAAAAAAAGCUUUGUCAUACUGAAACUAAUUUUAAUGCCUCUUCACCUAAUCGUGUUGCUAAUUUGCCGUGCUUCCCAAUUCUAUCAGAAGUAGUAGAAAUUCAUUAGGUCACAAUUUUGGUGGAAAGAGGAAGGUUCUCACGAGGAAGGAAAUAAAUAAUCCGGUAUGCCCUUCGCACGAUCGGUGUAUACGUAAAAAGAAGGAAAUAUAUGCUAUUUCAGUUUCAUUUCAAGCUAAAAUCUCGAUGAAACGUUUUACUAUUAUGCUUAUGCGGAAAAAAAUCAGAGUCUCAAUACUAUUAUUACUAUUAUCAAUGGUGGUUAUGCACAGAUAAGCUUCUUUGACGUUAUGAUAUUCGGGAAAUUAGUCUGUUCGGUCUAGUUACUGUUGGGCUUGUCUAUGUCAUGUAGUCUCUUCCUAAAUAAACAAAAUUAGAUUGCAAUUUUUCAAUAUCAGCUGAAAUUGUUUGGUUUUAUGUAAACAUUCUAUAUUAUUUAGUUGCAUAAUUUUUUUGCAUUUUUUUUUUGUAGGAAUUAAAAUAGAAAGGAUCAUUUCGACACCAGUCUCAUGCACACAAAUUAACACUGAAAAUAUUGGAUGAUGAAUUUAAUAGUGAACAAAAAAAAUUGAGAAAACCAAUCCAAAUCCUGUAAGAGAAACUUCCCAAAAAAAUCUUGGUUAAAUCUGGAUUGUCAAGAAGGUUGGGUGCAUAAUAGAGAUUUGAAUCGAUAAAAGGGAAUAUCUACCACGUUUAUUUUAUAUUGGACUCAUUUUAAUCCAAAUACACACAACUCUUGAAACCCGGAAAUAACAGCAGUCAGUUAAACAAGUGCUUGUUAUUAUAUUUGUACAAUGCCUAGUGCUGAAAUAUGUAUACAAUCAUUCAAGGAUGUGAUUAGAAGGAAUCAGUUUGAAUGCCAUCUAAACGAUGGCUAAGCCCAAGCCUAUGAUUUCCCAUAUGUAACGUCAAAGUUAGCUAAUAUUCUGUGUUAGCGAAUUCAACGCAAACCGUCAAACUUUAUCGAAUUACCACGAGCUGUUUUGAAAAUCAAAAAUCUUGUAUCUUCACCUAAGCAGUUUUCAAUGCAAGGCAGAAAGACUUGACUCGAGUAAAUUUUUUUUUCUCAGUUUAACAAACAAAAAGAUCUGUAUAUGCUGAAAAAAAAAGAAAAUCAGACCAUUUAGAGUAGAAGUAUCGCAAUUAUUUAUUCAAACACCUUUCAACUUUUUCUUACAUAGGCAAUAGAUAAAUGUACAAUCGAAACAGUUUAAAAAAUGCAAAUGUUCAAUGUGUAUUCUCAAUAGUUUAAAAUGCAACUACUGAACUACAGAAAGUAAUAGAAAUAAUUCCGUUCAAACAGUUAUUCAUGUUUCCGUGAUUAAUCCAAAGAUAAUUGAAGACAGUUUAAACAGACAGCUUCGUUCCCAAACUGAUCGUAUCUCGAUCGAAUCACUUAUUUAACUGUGCACUGUAAAUCAAGCAAACGAAAUAGUCUAGCUCUGAUUCUGGCGAUCAACUCUAGACCAGAGCGUUACGAUUGAAGCUUUUUUCCCCAAUAGAAAAUGUAAUUGGCUUAUCCACCUGCUAGUAGAUGGUGAUGUUGGCUGUUGUAAAUUGCUGUAACCGUGGAUGUUAUUUUCUGUUUGAUUUGCUCACUUUACUGUAACAAAAUGUUUGUAGACAACUAGUGGUCUCAAGGUGUAAAUUUAGAAUGAAAAUAAAGAAUAGAUUCGGAACAGUGUGAAUGCUGGUAACUGUAGCCAGUCAGAAGAAAAUAACAAAUUUACAAUCGAUAUCGCGGUUAUCGCAAUAGCUAGUUUUAUUGAAAUUCUGUUACAAUCUUCUGAUAUGGCGAAGUAUAUUAAAAAAACUAGAUAUAUGGCAGUCGAUACUACUAAUAAAAUAAGGUCUGUAAGCUGUGAA